AAGCGGGAAACUAGCUUCAAGAUAAGUAUUCUACGAGGAAGCUUCGAGAACAGGAGCUAGAUAGGUUGGGGGUGUACGCGCAGUAAUGUGUUUAGCUGACCAAUACUAAUCGAACGAAAUUUUAAUCAG
rnacentral:rRNA from 1 species